CAGCCGGGGCGCCGAGCGGGACAGCGCCGGGCCGGACAGCGCCGGGCGGUGCGCAGCCCGGCCGAGCUCCUGCCCGUCCCUGCGCCCGGCCGGAGCCAUGGAGGAGUUCCUGCAGCGCGCCCAGUCCCGGCUGAACAGGAGCAAACGCCUGGAAAAAGUCCAUGUUGUUCUUGGGAAUAAACCCUGUGAUUUGGAUUCACUGAUUUCUACCCUGGCCUACGCCUACUUUCUAGACAAGGUCAGUCCUCCUGAUGUUCUCUGCUUACCUGUGUUGAAUAUACCAAGAAAAGACUUCAGCUACUUUACUGAAACAAGAUUUAUUUUGGACGAGCUGAAAAUCCCAGAGUCAUUCCAUAUCUUCCGAGAUGAAAUCAAUUUGCAUCAGCUGAAUGCUGAAGGGAAAUUGUCUUUAACGCUUGUAAACAGCAACAUGCUGACAAGUGAGGAUAAAAGUUUGGAAUCAGCUGUUGUCAAAGUCAUCAAUCCAGAUGAGCAAUGUGACAGGAGCCUGGAGUUACAAGCAUGUUCUUCCUCUUUAGUCGUAAAAGAGAUUCUUCAGAAGGCACCAGAGUUAAUCACUCAGCAACUGGCUUAUCUCCUCAGAGGGAGCAUUCUCUUCAAGUGCAUGUCUUUGGAAGCUGACAGAAUGACAGAGCAGCAGGAGAAAGUACUGUCAGUUUUGGAGGAAAAGUUUCCAGAUCUUCCACCACGAGAGGAAAUUAUCUCUGUUCUCCAGGAGACUCAGUUUAACACCCAAGGUGUGAGCAUUGAGGAGGUUAUGCUCAAGGAUCUCAAGGAGAUUUCAGAUGGAGAAAUCAAAGUAGCGAUUAGCACUGUGUGUGUGACACUGGAGGACUGCAAAUUACACAGGAGUCUCAUUGGUGAUCUGAAAGUAUUCAUAGAUAAAUAUGGGUUUGAUGUACUUGUCAUUUUGGCCAACUGCUUGUCAGAUGAGAAGCAAACAAAACAACAAAUAGCAGUAUACUCGGAAAAUGUAGAGCUAGGCAAUCAGAUCUGCUGUGAAUUAGAAGAAUGUCAGAAUCCUUGUUUGGAGCUGGAUCCUCUAGAAUGUGAAUGUGACCAAAUUCUCAUUUAUCAUCAAGAAAAUUCUUCAGUGACCUGUGAUCAAAUUCUUCUCCUAAUUAAGGAAGUUAUAAAUAGAAGGCAACCAGAAAUGGUGUCAAACAGUAGAACUUCUUCUACUGAAGCUGUUGCUGGAAGUGCUCCACUUUCACAAGGAUCUUCUGGUAUUAUGGAGUUAUAUGGUUCUGAUGUAGAACCACAGCCCAGUUCUGCCAAUUUUAUAGAAAAUCCUCAAGAUCUAAAUGGGUCUGUGCAAGCCCACAUUGACGUUAAUGUAGACCUUGUGAGUCCAGACAGUGGCUUGGCUACCAUUAGAAGCAGCCGGUCUUCCAAGGAGAGUUCUGUUUUUCUUAGUGAUGAUAGCCCUGUUGCAGAAGGUGCUGCUUCACAUCACAGUCUUCUGCCUGGCUUUGAUUCCUACAGCCCUAUUCCUGAAGGAGCAAUAGCUGAAGAGCAGAAGUCUCAGUCAGGAAGCAAUAGCGAUAACUUUGAUCUUUUCAAUUUUGAUCUAGCACCCAUGGUUACAGCUCCAUCUGAGUCAUCUUCUCGUUCUGUUGAUUGUUCCCCAGCAGAAGACUAUUUUCUCAAUAAUGAUUCAUCAGAAGGGCAUCAGCUUACUCUGAAGAAAAAACUUGAUGAGACAAACCUAUUAGAAAAUGAUACAGUAAAGUAUUCAACUGACUUACUUACAACAAAAAUUGAGGAAGACAAUCUGGCUGAAUUUGAUGAGAAUACAGGAGAAAUAUGUGAGAAAACGUCAAGUUUGAUUGAUUUAGUUGAAGGUGAUUCUUCUUCACCAGAAGUGUUGAAAUCUGCUGAUUCAAGAAUUCCACCAACUCCUAUGAAUAGUCUUGUAGAUACUUCACCAUUAGAUAAUGGGCAGCCUUUAAUUUUCUCACAAGAUGUCAUAAAAAAAAUUAAUGAAAUAGAUGGCACAAAUUACUCUCCGUCUCGUGUUAGAUAUGGGAGCUGGUGGGAUGGCUUUGAUCUAGAUUCCAGAAAUGCUGAUGCAUGGAGUUCAAGUGAACAGGAAUCUGUAUUUCAGAGUCCUGUCUUAUGGAAAGAUUCUAAAGAAAGUCCUUUGCUACGAGAACAUACUGAUAGAAGAGCCUCAGAUUCUGUGUUCCUCCAAAAACAGCCAAAACAAAUGGAAUAUAUGAAAGCAGGUCUAUGGGAUAAUCAGUUUAAAGAAGAUAAUUGGAACCGUGAGAAUCAAGAGAAAAACAGUGAACAUUCCUGUUUGCAAACUGCUUCUUUAGAUGGGACAAAUCAAGAAGUGGAGAGCUUUACAGACCUGUGGAAAGUCAGCCAACCACCACCUGUGAUGUCAGAUGCAUGGUGUAGCAGUGAAGGAAAAGGUAGCCAGCUAGCUGGAGACUCUUACAAAAUCUGGACUGAGUUUGAUGAAGGAAAUGCUGGUAAAUCCUCAGAAAAUGUAUGGAACAUGUGCAAACUAGAUAGAGAGUUAAAAUCGGUGAAUAUUCCUGGCCCCGGUGAUAUUCGGGCCAUAUCAAAAACUGGUUUAUCACAUUCUUCAGAAAUCUCAGUGGACAAUGAAACUGAAAACCCAGAAGUGUGGGAUAAAGGAAGGUGUUAUUCAAUAGAAGACCAUGGCAAAUCUGAAAAUGUAACUUUUGUUUUCAACAAUACGCAAAAUAAUUCCAAGCUGAACACAGGGGACAAAACUGUGUUUGGUGAUCCUAAAUAUAGACCAAAACAAUUUGAAAAUAUAGAUACCUGGAAUAUGUAUGAUAAAAACAUCAGAAAGGAAGUAACAGAAGUAGUGGUGCCAUGGGAGGAUACCUUCUUAUAUAAAAACUCAGAUCUUAGUUCGUCAAAUAUAGCAGAAGAUUUAGUUGUUUCUCCACCAGACACCAAUUAUUCAACAUCUGAUUCAUAUAUAUCACCUACAUAUGUGGAAGAUGAAAGAGAAAAUGAGGACAAGGGUUUUGAAGAAGAAACAGUUACUGGUAAAUUCAUGAACACAAACUUGGCUGAAUCAAAAGUACUUCAGAAAUCAAGUAAGGAACCAUUAUCUCCUAACAAUGUGCCUUUUACAAAUGCUAGAAAUACAGAUAUCUGGAACACUCCCCUAAAUAACAUCGCCCAGUUACAAGAAAGAAAUUCUGAAAUUCCAGUUAUUUCUGCCUCUGCUAAACCUUGCCUUAAUUCAGAACAAACAGCUGAUGUAUGUUUUUCAACUGAAACGUGUAGCAGUGAAAAUAACUUUCCUGUAUCUGAAAGCAGAAGAGUAAUACUGGCAUAUAAUCAAACAAUGAAUGACUUAUCACCAUCACAGAAUGAAUUAAAUACUAGACAGAGAGCAGCUAACAAGGCAGAAGCAGUGGGCAGCAUAGAAGACACAAACACCUCUACGCCAACUUCAGAAAAUGAGAAUGGUUUGGAUCUGAAAAUAUGUGACUUAGGGAGUGAGAUGCUUAGUAAGAAUGCAGCACAAGACACUGUCAGUAUUGAUGAAGAGCUGGGUAUUGAGAAUUCAGUGCACCAGCUGGACUCAUGGCGUUUACAGAGUGAGCAGAGUUGUGAGGAAGGCUGGGAUAAUGACACUGUCAUCUCUAAGGAAGGACAAGAAUGCAAGAGAAUACAUGUGUCAAGUGGGCAGCAGAUGAUUAAUGACAUUUGUAAUAAACCAGUGCAAGAGGACAAUGAAUCUUCAGGUAAGACAGAUUUGGAAGAAAAUGAGCCAACAACUGAAGUUGCCAGCUCCCCAGAAAAACUGAGAAAUAGUUUGGAAGUAUUAAUCACAGAGAAUGUGUCAUUUUCAAAUCAAAGCAAUCCAGUUAGUCAGGAAGAGAGACAAGAUGUGUUGCAGUGCAGUUUAGAAUCUUCAAUUAUUUCUGAAGGAGGCAGAGAUUAUGAAUUUUUUGAUGACCCCUUACCACAAAAUUACAAUCAUACUGAAAUGUCACAGCUGCUUUCUCAGGGAACUGGAAAAGAGGCUGUGGUGACAGAGGAUGCAACAAGUCCCAAGAUGGAAAGUAUUUCUGAAAGUUCUGAUAAGGGUAGUGAUCAUCCUGAAAAUGAUUCUUCUAAAUUACCUGGAAGCUCAGGUGUCUGGAACGACUCUGGAAAGAAUGGUUGUGGCCAAGCCAUAUCAAUUCCUUUGAUGGAUAAACCACAAGAACCUCUGGGAGAAGGGCAAGAAUGCUUACAUGAAGUGGCUCCUAACCAUCCAGACAUUUGUAAUUCUGGUAAUUCUUUCAAAAAUAGUUUAGAACUGAUGAGGACCAAUGAAAAUUUUUUCACAGAUGAGUUGAAGAAAAAUCCUUCUGGAUUUGUUAGUGUUCCUGAUAUUACACAUAUGUCUGUGGUAGAAAAUUCAUUUUCACUUGAAAUAGCUUCUGGGAGAAGUGAAGACUCUGAAAAUGUAGAAACUGCUACAAAUCUUUGUGGAGAGCCAUUUGCAGUGCUUAAUGACAAUUUUCUCCAAACUUCUUGGGAUUCACAGCCAUGUGAAGAUUUGCAGUCUCCUGGAACAAGUCCUGAGGCAAGUGAAAUCCCUGAAAUAGCAAAUACCACAAGCAGCCUUUCAAAAGAUAUACAGAUCAAAAGCUAUUUGGAAGAAGAUAAUAUGUGGAAUAAUUCAAUAAAUUAUUAUACACACUCAAGUGGAACAAGUCCUGACUUGAGUGAUGCAUCUGUGAAUGUGUGGGGAGACUUUCCAGUUGCUAGUCAUCAUGAAAGAAGCAGGGAUGUGUGGGAGAUGAAAAAUAAUAAAAAUCUUGCGGAUUCUUUUAAAAAGCAGGAAUUUGGGAAUGAACAUGAAGAAGGAUUUGAAGCAAGCACUGAAAAGAACAAAGUUCCUAAAAGCUUAGAUUUUUGGAAUGCCCAUGUAGAUGAUGAUACUGUAUCUUCUUUAUCAAGUCCUGACAUAAAUGAGGAUUCAGAGAUUUCAGAGGCAUGUCCAGAAGUGAUUAAUGAAGAUUCAGUGUGUGAAAACAAACAGCACAAAGGAGCUGAAAAUGAAGAGGAUUGUGAUCAGUCCAAUGCAACAAGUCCUGGACCUAAUGAAAACAGUUCAGGUGCAAAAACUAAGGUGGGAGAGAAGGUCCUGGUAAGCACCUUCAAUGAAAAUUCUGAAACAACUGAAGCCAAAAAGGUAUUGCAGGAGGAUGGGACUGUUGACUUUAUUGAUUAUAAUAUGACUAUUCAGUCUACUACAGGCCACUGUGAAACACCUGACGAAAUAACUCAGGUGAGUAUUUUCAAUGAAAAACCAGAUAGUGUGGAAGACUCAUAUUUGUAUCAAAUGAAUGAAGAUCCUGCAUCAACUUCUGCUGCUGGUGAUAAAGAAGAGCAUUCUUUAAAAGCUGUAGAUAGGUGGAGUAUGUCACUAGAAGCUGAUUCAAGGACUAGUCCAAAAUCCACAGUAGGAACAUCUGAUUUUCUAGAUAAUAGUUCAGAAUGGUGGAGUUCAGAACCUUGUGAAGAAAAGCAAUUGGAAGAUCAGUAUUCAGUUUCAAGUCACUCUGCAACAAAUCAGCCAGGAAACAGUAAAGAGUACUCCUGUGGCUCCCCUUCACAAGGUGAACAACUAACAGAAACACAUUUCACAGAUCCAGGUAAUGAUGAAAAUCCACCUGCCCCCCUGUACUCUGAUGAAAAAGAAAAUGAAAGACUAGUACAUUCUAUCAGUAGUCCUGAUGGUCAGUUAAAUGAAAACAGUUCAUUUAAUCAAUUUGAUUCUUUCACACUGGAUAAAGAAGAAAGGGAGUUGAUAGAGCAGUUGUUUUCUGCAGAUGACGAAAAUCAACUGUCUCCACAGAACUCUUUUUCAGAUGAGGAACAAGCUAUACCAAAUACAGCAGUUGAAGCAGUCACUGUACUGGAUCUACCAAAAGACGAUGAGGGGAAUGCAAAUCUCAUUCCUCAAGGACAGCAGAAGGACACCUGUGAAAGAGUAGAAGUGCUCAACUCUGUGCCAGAUGCUUUCACUGUAGAAGACUUGUCUUUUGAAAUGGCAGAAAAGUCAAGUCCAGAGUGGAAUAUAUUAGUUCCCCAAACUGCACUUAUCCCAGAUAUUUUACAGGAUAACACACAAGGAAGUAAUCAACAGUUUUCAGUGGAACCUGACCUGUGGACUAAUGCUGAGGAGACUGUCACUUUGAAAUCAGAUGGUGAAAAUCCUGAUAUUUUAAGUCACUGUGACCAAGACAAUGGUUCAGAGUCAUCAAGCAGUCCUGAUGUGUGCCAGGAAUAUGGAGCUAAACAUGCCUCUAUCCCAUCUUCUCAGAUUGCAGUGGAGCCUGAAGACAAAGACAGUCAGCCAAUUCAUACAAGAUCAAACGUGAAUAAAGAGGUAGUUUUUGAUUCAAAGUGUCAGCUGGUAGUGCAGAAAGAGAUGCACUCUGAAAAUGGCAGCCCCCAGGACUAUGAACCAGUAAAGACCAAUGAAUUCUAUCAGCUCAUGUCUUCUAAUCCUCAGGAGCCUCCUGAAUUUGCAAUUCCAGAAGAACACAGCCUAGAAAAUAAGCUGGUAUUUGACCCUGUUGAAUCAAGUGAAAAUGCCAGUGAAGUUAUAAAAGUAACAUCCUUAGAUGUGAAAGACACCUUCCGUGGAAGUUUCACUAAUGCAAGCCAUCAACGAGCACCAAGGGAUACAGCUCAAAUAGCAACCUCUCAAAUGCAUUUGCUUCCCAUGGAUUUCAGUCAACCUGAUAGGGAAGAACAAAGCUUAAAAGAAAUCAGUCCCUUGGAUGAAGUUGUAAAAUAUUCUGAUACUGACCAUAUGGCAAUAACUGGUGUUGAGCUAGAUAGGCCAGAAGAAUGUGUGGAUAACUCUGACACAGGGCUAGCACAUAGUAUCAGGGACACCUCAGCGACUAGUGUCCUGGCAGGCACAUGUGGUGGAAUGAACAUACUGACACUGCUAGGCAGUGAGGCAGCAGAAGGGAAAUCAGAGGAUGAACGGACACUUUUCCCCAAAUCCUUUCUACCUGGUGGUAAUGAAGGUAAUGAAUCUGAUUCAAAUAAUCAACUGUUUGAUGACACAGCAAAAGAAUAUGAAGCUGUAAUUGAUCCUGUGUUUAAGGAAAUACCCAAUGACCAAUCACCAACGAUGUGUACUCCACCAUCCUCUGCAUCUUUUGAUGCUGAACCGUCUGGCAGCAGAGAGUAUGCAAACGGCAAGCUCUUGUUACAGCAGCCAUUUUAUGACAGUGUUUCUUUGGAAAAACGAUUGCCAUUGUCAGCUCCUCUGGAAGGUGCAGAGGGCAUCCUAAUGACGGAAGAUAAGGUGUCUGAGACAUCCACGGAGUGUCUUGAGGAAAAUUUUACCUCAGUACCAUCGCUCUCCAUGUCUGAAGUAACCCCCCCACAUAUGGAUUUCUUGACAGGAAAAUCUGAAACAACCGAUCCUGACUCACCACCAGGUGGAGAUAGAAGAUCAUGUGACGAAGCUGGCACUGACUCCCUACUUUGUAGGGAGGAAAAGCUGAGAAAUUCCCAUAAGAGCCCUGAACUGGAAAGUACAGACAGUAAAGAAGAUGUGAGGAUGCAGGUGUUACCGGCUUCACUGGAGAUGGAUUACAUCCUUGUUACUGAGGAAAAAAAUACACCUGCAACAAAUGAUACCCUUGAAAGAAGCAAAAUUGAUUUUGCAUUUCAAGAAUCCCAUGAGGGCUUUUCACCAGGCUCCUUGGAUGCAUUUCAGGCAAUAUCCAUUUCAAAUGAAAGCAAAGAUCAUCUUGUUUGUGGGACUGGAUGGGACACUGUUCACUUAGAAGAGAAAAAUUCUUCUGCUGUGCCUCAAAAGCUGGAUGGUGAAAAGAAAUCACAGGAAAGCUGUGGGCAAGACGAGGGUUGGAUUAUAUUGGGACAAAGUGAAGUAAGUGACCUAUCACCUGAAGAAAUUUCUGCCAAGACAGAGAUGCCAAAAUCAGAGUCUGGACAUCCUGGUGAAGAACUGGCAUCUGUUGUAGCGCAGGAACUGAUUCUUGACACUUGGACAGAAUUUCAGGUAGAAACUCCCCUUCAGAAACCUUCUGAGCAUGAAAGCUGUUCUCCUUCAGAUGGCCUGGCUGCUGAGAACGUGAGUUCAGGCAUUGCAGGAACAUCAGAGUUGCAGGUAGCUGGUGGUGAUACUACAUGGGAAGCCAAUUCUCAAGAGAAGCUUGGGAGCAACGUAGGAACAGAACAAGAAAUGAAGGAGGAAACGGUUCUUUUCAACAGUGAAAGAGAAUUGAAUCAAAGAUCAGGGUUGGUACAAGAGGAUAUGGGAAUGGACAUCCCCUUAGCUGAGGGUGUACUAAGCCCCAGAAGCCCCAGUUCUACGGAGAUGAGACCUGAACCUCCCAAUUCACUUGAUCUUAAUGGUUCCCAACCCAGAAGGAUAAAGCUCACUGCUCCAAACAUCAAUCUGUCAUUGGAUCAGAGUGAAGGGUCUAUAUUGUCUGAUGAUAAUUUGGAUACACCUGAUGAAAUUGACAUUAAUGUAGAUGACCUUGACACUCCUGAUGAAGCUGACUCUUUUGAAUACGCUGGACAAGAAGAGCAGACUGCUGCUAAGGAUGCUUCCCAGGAGGAGUCUGAAUCAAUCCCUGAGUACUCUGCUGAAGAGGAGCGAGAGGACAACAGGUUGUGGAGAACGGUGGUUAUUGGAGAACAAGAGCAGAGAAUUGAUAUGAAAGUCAUUGAACCAUACAAAAAGGUCAUUUCACAUGGAGGAUACUAUGGUGAUGGUCUGAAUGCUAUCAUUGUGUUCGCGGCAUGCUUCUUGCCAGACAGCAGUCGAACUGAUUACAACUAUGUCAUGGAAAAUCUUUUCCUAUAUGUAAUCAGUACCUUAGAGCUGAUGGUAGCUGAAGACUAUAUGAUUGUCUACUUGAAUGGAGCAACACCAAGAAGAAGGAUGCCUGGAUUGGGUUGGAUGAAAAAAUGCUAUCAGAUGAUUGAUCGACGAUUACGGAAGAAUUUGAAGUCAUUUAUAAUUGUUCAUCCAUCAUGGUUUAUCAGGACAAUUCUGGCUGUAACACGACCUUUUAUAAGCUCUAAGUUCAGCAGUAAGAUACAGUACGUCAACACGCUGGCAGAGCUUCGUGAGAUGAUUCCAAUGGAAUAUGUGCAUAUACCAGACAGUAUUGUCAACUCUGUCCACUGGGCAUGCCUCAGACCCCUGCUGCUUCUCUGUCUCUGCCUCCAAGCGAGCUAAAUAAGGACUUACAAAUUUAAGAACUAGCUGCCUCUCAAAUGAUCCAGAAAUGGCUUCAGUGGAGCAGGACAUCGACAUGACCCUGAAGUAAGAAGCAUCAUUGCCAGGCAUUUGAAGAAGAGGGUUCACAUGGAUUUUCAUCACCCAGACGAUCACAACCACGCCGUACAAUAAGUGAUUUGGUCAAUUGUGUUUGAUUUAUAAGUUUCCCCUGUUAUUCAGCAGUCCAGGAAGACCAAAAGGGCCAGUCCUAUUGCCACAGAAACAGCAGAAUUUUGGGUCCUGGUUAUUUUUGUUGUUUUCAGAAACAGUUUUCAUUAGGAAAGCUAUAUCAUCUAUCAUUGGUUUCUCUGUGUGUGCCAUUUCUGUUCAAAAGGAUACCAUUUUACCAACAGUGUGCCUCAUGAAUAGGUCAAUGAGGAUGGGGAUUUUUUAAUUUUUUGUCUUCAGCAUAUUAAUGUUUAUGCAUAGCUGAAUGCUAUAGUUAUUGUUACAAUAAGUGUUAGUUUGCUUGUGUCACAGAGCAGCAGCAACUUUACUGUUUAAAAGUAACUUCAGAAAUUAUUCAGGACUUUCUUGAAUUUGACAGGCCGUGUUAGAUCAGGCUUUGGGCAGCCUGUCAUAGUGAAGGGGUGUCCCUGCUCAAGGCAAAGGGGCUGGAACUAGAUGAUUCUUAAGGGCCCUUCUGACUCAAAGUAUUCAUACUUUUAUGAAUUUGUUUUUCUUGAGGUCUGAAAAGUCUUUCCAUCUUCAUUAAAUGACUUCUUGUUUGAUCAGAGAAAACUGGGAUAUAGUAAAAAAUAAUAAUUAGUCUCAUUAGACUUCCCAGAGGAUGAAUAACUGAAAUUCAUUUUAAUUUAAUAAUUCAGUUUGGUAUAUUUAUUUUAGGCAUAAUUUCCUAGAAGCAGCUAAUCCUGUAAAUUACUUUCAUAUAUUCUAAAAUCCUUGGAGCAUUAAUUUAUUGCUGCUUUCUAAGUCUGUUUCUUCCAGAGCACUUUUUUGAAAUUAUGAGUCUUCAAAUGACAUCCUGUCUCCAGUUGUAAAGGCUAUUAUUUCUCUGAAUAUGAAUCAAAUAUUAUUUCCUACUGGGAGCUGAAAGCUGGGAGUCAUACUCAUUUGUUAGGAAUAUUUGUUAAAAUCUUGCUCCAAGAGUUUCUAUUAGAUUUAAAAAAAAGUCUUUUAAUGGUAUUUAUUGUCUGUGUCACAGAACACACCAGUAAAAACAUAAACGGGAAAAACCCUAAGCAUCCUUUGUUUGCUGGGGUCCUAUUUAUUUGCACAAAAGAUACUACAGCAAGUCCUACUCCUUACUGGGAAAUAGCUUCAGUCUCUCAGAUCACGCUUCUACAGAAGUGUGCAAAUUAAUUAUCUAGUGAUUUCUGUUUGACUACUUUAAAAAGAUUAGAGUCAAGAAAAUUAUAAAUGUUUUCUCUUACCCUAAUGAAUACACGUAGGCACUUUCCAAACCUGCUGACCUUUCCAAACUCACCUGCCUUUUGGGAAGUCCUAAUGGGAGUCUUACUAUUACAUAAUCACUGAAAUAUUAUUCUUUUUUCACAAGAUUUUUCUAUGCUUUAGUAUUGUGUCUGUGGAUUUUUCACUUUGUAAAGAAAUCCUUAGACAUAACAAUUCAAGGUAAGUUGCACCUCAUUGGUGUGGUCUAAUUCUAGUCCUUUCAGUUCGGAAUUAGUGAUAAAAGAGAAAACAAGCAAAGUAUUUCUUGGGGCAUAAAGUUUAAGCAGAAACAGUAUAGCAUGAGCCUUCAUGUUUUCAGUAGGAUCUAAACUGCAAGUUCUAUUCAGUCCUUCAUUUAAAGAUUUGAUGGGAUUUUUUGUGGUUUGCACAUUUCCAGUUCUGUCCAUUUCUGUGUCUUGUAUUUGCAAGGGAGUCUGCAGGCAGUGAAGCAAGUGUCUGUCAUUGUGUGCAUAGUUGUUCAGCUACUGCAAUGAAGACUGACAAAGUUGUCAGAAAGGCAGAAGAGUGCUUUCUUAUUGGCCAAGAUGAAAACCGAAAUAUGUGUCCUCUGCUCUGUGCUGGUAUCUUUGUCUGCCUUGCUGGUCUGCUGUAUCACGUCUGUCAGUUCCUGUAAAUUUUCACAAAGGAAGGGCCUGAUCCUGCUGACCAUUGUUGCUGCUCUGUAACCUUGUCCUAAACUAGGGUCUGGUAGUCUCCACCUUUUCUCAGAUAUUUGAAUCCUGGCUUGUGUCUGCCUUAUAAAAGUGCUGUCACUUAGUAUAUUGGGGAUAAUGUUUUAUGUACAGAUUAAUAUUUGUAUUGACUUCCUGAUGCUAAUUAAGCUUCACUAAGAUCUAAACGAUUAAAAGCAUUUAGUAGCAUGAAGUUGCAUCUUUUGUAGACCUGUAGUUGAAGCCUCUUAAGACAAGCCACAUGACCUGUGUUAUGCAAUAGAUAAGAAAAGUUUCCACUAGAAGUGAAGUUCACCACAAAGCAGAGGUUCAGCACAAAUCUUCAUUCACUCUUUGAGACCCUAUGUGGGGUAUGAGAGGUUUGUGAUUUUGAUGGUGGACAUCAGCUCAGAGUUUAAUUUAAUUCUACUUGCUUUGUGUGAAAUUACUAAGCAGCAAAGUUACAAAUUAAUAUUAUUAUUAUGGGCAGAAUAAUGGUGGCAUCCUGAAAUGAAAUUUGUUUAAGCCAAAUGGGACGUUAAAACAAAAUGGGGCAUUGAUGUGAUAGUUAAAAUAUGAUUGCAGGAUCAAAGUGUGGUUAUCUUUGCUUAUUAAUAUAUUUUGAAAAGUUUUUUAAUGUUAUGAUAAGGCAAUUCUAUGUUAUACUAACAAUAACAUAUCAAUAUUAAUAAAUCAGUAGUUUGUUGAAAGAGAAAUAUAGUACGUAUAAUUGCACAGAUACAAGCUUUUAUAUAUGGAUUUUUUCUACUGUGUAUCAGAGUGCUCAGAUGAAAUAUAAAUUAGUAGUUGCAAAUUUUUUUGUUAAAAUACUUAUGCUGACUUAAAUUAGAGAUUAAGCAAUACAAGGAUAUCUAAUAGCAUUGUAUGGAUAUAUAUACCUAUGAAUCAGAAAUAAAGCAUUGCAACCCA